rnacentral:rRNA from 1 species
GAUGAACGCUAGCUACAGGCUUAACACAUGCAAGUCGAGGGGUAACGAGAGGAAAGCUUGCUUUCCUUGUCGACGACCGGCGCACGGGUGAGUAACGCGUAUCCAACCUGCCCCCAACUAAGGAAUAACCUUGCGAAAGUAAGACUAAUACCUUAUAUUUUCCUCAGAUGUCAUCUGACGAGGAAUAAAGAUUUAUCGGUUGUGGAUGGGGAUGCGUCUGAUUAGCUUGUUGGCGGGGUAACGGCCCACCAAGGCAACGAUCAGUAGGGGUUCUGAGAGGAAGGGCCCCCACAGUGGGACUGAGACACGGUCCAAACUCCUACGGGAGGCAGCAGUGAGGAAUAUUGGUCAAUGGGCGAAAGCCUGAACCAGCCAAGUAGCGUGCAGGAUGACGGCCCUAUGGGUUGUAAACUGCUUUUAUACAGGAAUAAAGUUAGCCACGUGUGGUUAUUUGUAGGUACUGUAUGAAUAAGGACCGGCUAAUUCCGUGCCAGCCGCCGCGGUAA